rnacentral:rRNA from 1 species
UACCAGCACCCCGAGUGGUCGGGACGAUUAUUGGGCCUAAAGCAUCCGUAGCCGGUACUGCAAGUCUUCCGUUAAAUCCACCUGCCUAACAGUUGGGCUGCGGGGGAUACUACAGCGCUAGGAGGCGGGAGAGGCAAGCGGUACUCAAUGGGUAGGGGUAAAAUCCAUUGAUCUACUGAAGACCACCAGUGGCGAAGGCGGUUUGCCAGAACGCGCUCGACGGUGAGGGAUGAAAGCUGGGGGAGCAAACCGG